rnacentral:rRNA from 1 species
CCUACGGGUGGCAGCAGUGGGGGAUAUUGCACAAUGGGGGAAACCCUGAUGCAGCGACGCCGCGUGAGUGAAGAAGUAAUUCGUUACGUAAAGCUCUAUCAGUAGGGAAGAAACACUGACCUUACGGUCAGCAGACGGUACCUGAGUAAGAAGCCCCGGCUAACUACGUGCCAGCAGCCGCGGGAAUACGUAGGGGGAAAGCGUUAUCCGGAUUUACUGGUGGUAAAGGGAGCGGAGACGGGGCGCCAAGUCUGGAGUGAAAUGCCGCAGCUUAAAUGCGGGACGGCUUUGGAAACUGGCGAACUAGAGGGCGGGAGGGGUAAGCGGAAUUCCUGGUGUAGCGGUGAAAUGCGUAGAUAUUAGGAGGAACACCGGUGGCGAAGGCGGCUUACUGGACCGUAACUGACGUUGAGGCUCGAAAGCGUGGGGAGCAAACAGGAUUAGAUACCCGAGUAGUC